GGCAGACAGAAGAACCCUCAGGUGCAUAAUCAGCUUGGAGGGAGUUUCAGCAAUUAGUGUCCCAGUCCCAUGCUCAAACUGAAUGUGUUGCAGUGUGUAUGCUGAGCAGACUUCCCAGGCAGGAGACUCAGCAAAGCAGGAAAUCCUGACCUGCAGGAUAUUGACAGAUGUGACAUGCUUGCUGAGGAGCCGAAAUCAGUAAAAAGGUGACAGGUCUGACACAUGGACGGAUGGGGGAGACUGAGGAGGAUCCCGAAUAUGAUGAGUGAUGAAGCUGACAGCAUCCUGGCAGUGUACCAACAAGAAGCAAUCAGUGUCAACUCUAGAGAUUUUCUGUCUGAAUCCACCUGCGUUCUGUCUGCAAUGCUGUUUUUGGAAACUCAAACCCCCCCACCCCCCUGUUGAACCCUAUUGCCUUGUCCUCAAUGAGAGCAUCAUAACAGGCAGCAACGCCAAAGCGCAGUCAAGCGAGACCGCCAUCGUCGCAAGUGCUGGCCAGUGAAGACCCUGACAACACCACAUAAGCAUAUUAUUGGUCAUGCACAUUAGACACCACAUUGGACAUGCGGACCCUGGGUCCAGAGUCCCAGCCAGAGAAGCCGGUGUUACACAGUAAGUUUACCUGUAUACAAUGU